AUUGAACGCUGGCGGCAGGCCUAACACAUGCAAGUCGAACGGUAACAGGAAGAAGCUUGCUUCUUUGCUGACGAGUGGCGGACGGGUGAGUAAUGUCUGGGAAACUGCCUGAUGGAGGGGGAUAACUACUGGAAACGGUAGCUAAUACCGCAUAAUGUCGCAAGACCAAAGAGGGGGACCUUCGGGCCUCUUGCCAUCGGAUGUGCCCAGAUGGGAUUAGCUAGUAGGUGGGGUAACGGCUCACCUAGGCGACGAUCCCUAGCUGGUCUGAGAGGAUGACCAGCCACACUGGAACUGAGACACGGUCCAGACUCCUACGGGAGGCAGCAGUGGGGAAUAUUGCACAAUGGGCGCAAGCCUGAUGCAGCUAUGCCGCGUGUAUGAAGAAGGCCUUCGGGUUGUAAAGUACUUUCAGCGGGGAGGAAGGGAGUAAAGUUAAUACCUUUGCUCAUUGACGUUACCCGCAGAAGAAGCACCGGCUAACUCCGUGC
rnacentral:rRNA from 1 species